CCUACGGGAUGCAGCAGUGAGGAAUAUUGGUCAAUGGGCGCGAGCCUGAACCAGCCAAGUAGCGUGAAGGAUGACUGCCCUACGGGUUGUAAACUUCUUUUAUAAAGGAAUAAAGUGAGGCACGUGUGCCUUUUUGUGUGUACUUGAUGAAUAAGGAUCGGCUAACUCCGUGCCAGCAGCCGCGGUAAUACGGAGGAUCCGAGCGUUAUCCGGAUUUAUUGGGUUUAAAGGGAGCGUAGAUGGGUUGUUAAGUCAGUUGUGAAAGUUUGCGGCUCAACCGUAACAUGGCAAUUGAUACUGGCUGUCUUGAGUACGGUUGAGGUAGGCGGAAUUCGUGGUGUAGCGGUGAAAUGCAUAGAUAGCACGAAGAACUCCGAUUGCGAAGGCAGCUUACUAAACUGCAACUGACAUUGAUGCUCGAAAGUGUGGGUAUCAAACAGGAUUAGAUACCCGAGUAGUC
rnacentral:rRNA from 1 species